rnacentral:rRNA from 1 species
GACGAACGCUGGCGGCGUGCUUAACACAUGCAAGUCGAGCGAGCAGAUUCCCUUCGGGGAUGAAGCUAGCGGCGGACGGGUGAGUAACACGUGGGCAACCUGCCUUAUAGAGGGGGAUAGCCUUCCGAAAGGAAGAUUAAUACCGCAUAACAUCAGAUUAUCGCAUGGUAGACUGAUCAAAGGAGCAAUCCGCUAUAAGAUGGGCCCGCGUCGCAUUAGCUAGUUGGUGAGGUAACGGCUCACCAAGGCGACGAUGCGUAGCCGACCUGAGAGGGUGAUCGGCCACAUUGGGACUGAGACACGGCCCAGACUCCUACGGGAGGCAGCAGUGGGGAAUAUUGCACAAUGGGGGAAACCCUGAUGCAGCAACGCCGCGUGAGUGAUGAAGGCCUUCGGGUUGUAAAGCUCUUUGAUCAGGGACGAUAAUGACGGUACCUGAAGAACAAGCCACGGCUAACUACGUGCCAGCCGCCGCGGUAAUAC